AUCUCAGAUCUGGUCUUGGCUAGACCUUGUUUCCCGAGCCAAGCCGGAUUUCUUAUCUUCAGAUUAAAACUUUUUAAUUGACCACCACCGUUUAGUUAAUCUUCUUGCUGUCCGAGCGUCAAAAAAAUAUCCGGUCCUGGUCCUUCCCUCAUUAAAGAGCCAAGCUCUUCAUUCCUAUCGCGGUCUCGCUCAGGCCAGUUUCUUCGUCUACACAAACCUUCUUGUACUGCGGUGCUGCUUGUGCUCUUCUCUUCUUCUCCGGGGAAGUAUCCUUUACUGCUGCUCCGUUUUCAGUUGAAACUUACAAAAGCUCAAGGGGGCGAAUGGCAGAGGACAAGAGCAGUAGCAUCGGGAGCAAGGUUGAUGACACAAGUGGUCAGCCGCGUAAGCUAUCGUACCAAUUUCUGAAAGAUAUUACGAAUGAUUUCGACGAGGCUCAAAUAGUUGGCCGUGGUGCAUACGGUACAGUUUACAAGGGUACUUGCGAAAAUGGUGAGGAGAUUGCUGUGAAGGUACUUACGAACAUGACAGGACUUGAUAAUAAGGAGUUUCAGAAGGAGUUCGAGAACCUUAGGAGGCUCAAGCAUCAAAAUGUUGUUGAGCUGUUGGGUUUCUGCAACGAAUCAGAGGAAGUUGUUGUAGAAUAUGAUGGGAAGACAAUUGUCGCUGAAAAGAUGCAUACCGCGCUCUGCUUCGAGUAUGUACGUAAUGGUAGCCUUGCCCAACAUAUUUCUGACGAUGGAUGCUCGGGACUUGAUUGGCAGAUACUAUACAAAAUAAUUAAAGGGAUCUGUCAGGGUUUAGAAUAUCUUCGGCAUGGGUUGGAGUUUCCAGUAUGGCAUUUGGACUUGAAACCUGCUAACAUAUUGCUAGAUAAUAAUAUGAUUCCAAAGCUUGCAGAUUUUGGCUUAUCAAGACUCUUAGGUGAUGAAAACACAAGAAAGACCAUCAGUCCCAUCGGUACAGGUGGUUACUCGCCGCCGGAGUAUGUAGAUCAUAGACUAAUAACAAAAAAGUUCGAUAUAUUUGGCUUGGGUGUUAUAAUUGCAAAGUUAAUGGCUGGACGUGAACGCUACUCUGAAAUUGAUUACAUGACGGAAAAGGUGUUUACUAAGCAUGUACAUGGCAGCUGGAGAAAAAAGAUGCGGGAAACAUUGUCGCCUAGACAACUGGAAGUAUAUUGUGAACAGGUCAAGAUAUGCAUUCAGAUAGCACUGAAAUGCAUGAAGCGUGACAGACAAGAAAGGCCCACUGUACAGUCCAUUGUCUCUAGAUUGGAACAGACAGAAAUAAUGAUAGGUAGCCUGGAGCUGCAGACAGAACAGUUCUUUGAUGGGGAAACCAUUCACCCCAAGGGAGGCCUCCAGGCUACACCUCCAGAAAUGGCCCCUGACACCAGCAGUGCUAGAACCGACGAUGGUAAGACAGGCACUACGAGUGCAGAACGGAAGAUGUGGCCGCUACAACUAUGGAAGAAUAUUACGAAUGACUUCUCCGAGGACCGAAUAAUUCGCACGGGUGCAUUUGGAACAGUUUAUAAGGGAAUUCUGGAAGAUGAUGAGAUUAUUGCUGUGAAGAAACUAGCGGAAAAUGCACCGCUGCCAAGUGACAACGUGUUUACUAAGGAAGUUCGAAAUAUUAUGGCUCUAAAAAAUGAAAAUAUACUACCCUUGGUUGGCUACUGCCGGGAAGGACAAAAGAAAAUGGUGCAAAACAAUGGAAGAUAUAUUGUUGCAGACAUAGUUGAAAGUGUACUCUGCUAUGAAUAUUUACCUAAAGGAAGCCUUGCGAAGACUCUUUUUGAAGUACCCAAGAAAAUAGACUGGGAGACACGAUUCAAAAUAAUUAAAGGGGUUUGCAAGGGUUUACUCUUUCUACAUAGCAUUCCUAUUGUUCAUAUGGAUCUCAAGCCUGAAAAUAUAUUGUUGGAUAAUUACAUGCGGCCGAAAAUUGCGGAUUUCGGUCUCUCGAGGCUCUUCGGUCAAAAACAAACACAGAUGAAUACACAAACUGUCAUUGGAUCAUAUGGAUACAUAGCUCCGGAGUAUCUAUACAGAGGCGAAAUCUCCACCAUGUCAGACAUUUACAGUUUAGGCGUACUCAUCAUGGAGACCAGCACAGGAGAGAAAAAUAUUCUCAAGCAAAACGAACCGUCUGCAAGGGAGUUCAUUAAAAAUGUACGUGAAAAUUGGACAGAGGAGCGCAUAGCGUCAAAGUACCCGUCGUUAGCUGCAGUUUGCCUGAACCAAAUAAAAGCAUGCAUCAACAUUGGACUAGAGUGUGUGGAGAUUGAUCGGCGCAAGAGACCAUCCAUAGAAAAAAUUCUGGACACGCUCAACAGACUUCCGCAGAUAGACUCCAAUAACGUUCUCAGCCUGCAACCCCAGAGGAUAAACUUCCCUAUUGGGCCAAAGAGGUUGACCUCCAGCUCGCUUUACCUAAUAAACAACAGAGAUGAUCGUAUUGCCUUCAGGCUUGAAACCAAAUUCCCAAGGAGGUGCCUUACAAAGCUUCCAUUGUGUGGCGUUGUCCCGCCGAAGUGCACCUACAUUCUCACUAUGCUAAUGCGCGAACAGAAGAAGUCGCCACCGUCGAACAGCGACGAUGGUUUGAUACUACAAAGCAGUAUUGCACACCAUGAGGACCUCGACAGUGUCGACCCAGCUUCCGUGGCCAUGUUCCUUGACUCCAUCGGCGAUGAGGUGAAAGAGGCGAAAGUUCCGGUUGCUUGCGAACCACUAGCUGAAACAAUCUCUAACGAUCAGAUCAUAGAUGGUCCUAAUUACCGGGAGGUGUUGUCUGUAGAUGUCCAUCCAACAGAACCAUGGAUCUUGACGAGCAACAAGAGGGGUCAUGUUUGCAUUUGGAACUACCAAACUCAGGCAGAGGUGAACUCCACUGAAGUCACUAGAGAGCCAGCAUAUUCGGCAAAAAUUAUUGAACGGGAGGGAUGGUUUGUGGUUGGCAGCGGCGAUGGGUGCAUCUAUGUGUACGAUUAUAACAUGAUGGAAGAUGUAGAAAUGAUCGAAGAAGCUCAUGAUAGUCAUCGCAUCAUGUGUUUGGCGGUUAAUCCAACUCAUUCAUUUCUGCUGUCAGCAUCUGAUGACCACAAUAUUAAGCUUUGGGAUUGGACUAACGGAUGGCAGUGUACCCGAACUUUUGAGGGGCACGAUGACACAGUCACACAAGUAAUGUUUAACCCGAGGCACAGCAGAAGCUUCGCGAGUGCUUCCUUGGAUCACGGAGUCAAGAUUUGGAAUAUUGAUUCUGGAACGUGCAACAUCACGUGGGAUGGCCAUUCGGGUGGUCUACUCUCUGUUCAUUACCACCCACGGUAUUUUCAGCAGUCUUUGAUUUGUGGAUCUUCAGAUGGUGCCGCAAAGAUCUGGGACCUAGAGACGGACAGUUGCGUCGAUACGCUCCAAGGACAUGAAAAGGGUAUCAGUGCUCUUUGUUGGCACCCAGAACUUCGGGCACUAGUUACUGGUUCGCUUGAUGGGACCGUGCGAAUCUUGAGCUGGAUGUGUCAUAGCAAUACAUACAGGGCAACCAAUCUCAACUACCUCUUAUCAUGAUCAAAGGAGCUAUGCAUGCCAUGGUCCAAACAUAUAGUUGAAAAGCUUGAGAACGUCAUUGGAUUAAAUCUCGGUGCUGUCAAUGCUCUUGGAUACCUAAAGGGAUUAACAAGGAUUGUGGUCGGAUGCGACCAAGGAAUGGCACUGAUGGAAAUUAACGUGAUUUAAAUCAAGACCCAGUCGUUGGCUAGGUAGGAGGAAGGACUCUAGAGAAAAUUAAGUGGAAGCAAAACUCUUAUUGAAAUCAAACAUUAAGAAUUUCCAGAAUUAUAUUUGUUUGUUGUAUUAUGGAGUUCCUCUUGGACAGUACUAAUGGUGUGGAGACUCGGUAGCAUCCAUUAAUACGAUAUAAAACUGUUCGUUUA